rnacentral:ncRNA from 1 species
CACAGGUUUGGUCCCAGCCUUCCUAUUGACCCUUAAUAGACUUACACAUGCAAGCAUCCACACCCCAGUGAAAAUGCCCCCUAAGUUAAUAAGACUAAGAGGAGCUGGUAUCAAGCACACAUCCGUAGCUCACGACACCUUGCACAGCCACACCCCCACGGGAGACAGCAGUGAUAAAAAUUAAGCCAUAAACGAAAGUUUGACUAAGCCAUAUUAAUCAGGGUUGGUAAAUUUCGUGCCAGCCACCGCGGUCAUACGAUUAACCCAAGUUAAUAGGCACACGGCGUAAAGCGUGUUAAAGCACUAUUCCAAAUAAAGUUAAACUCCAAUUAAGCUGUAAAAAGCCAUAAUUGCAACAAAAAUAAACAACGAAAGUAACUUUACAACCGCUGAAACACGAUAGCUAGGACCCAAACUGGGAUUAGAUACCCCACUAUGCCUAGCCUUAAACACAAAUAGUUGUGUAAACAAAACUAUUCGCCAGAGUACUACCGGCAAUAGCUUAAAACUCAAAGGACUUGGCGGUGCUUUACACCCUUCUAGAGGAGCCUGUUCUAUAAUCGAUAAACCCCGAUAAACCUCACCAUUCCUUGCUAAUACAGUCUAUAUACCGCCAUCUUCAGCAAACCCUAAAAAGGUACAAAAGUAAGCACAAUCAUAAUACAUAAAAACGUUAGGUCAAGGUGUAACCUAUGGAACGGAAAGAAAUGGGCUACAUUUUCUAAUAUAAGAAAAUCCAACACGAAAGUUAUUAUGAAAUUAAUAACCAAAGGAGGAUUUAGCAGUAAACUAAGAAUAGAGUGCUUAGUUGAAUUAGGCCAUGAAGCACGCACACACCGCCCGUCACCCUCCUCAAGUAAACAUAAUACACUCAAAUUUAUUUACACGUAUUAAUCAUAUGAGAGGAGACAAGUCGUAACAAGGUAAGCAUACUGGAAAGUGUGCUUGGAUAAAU